GUUCUCUGGUCGCCACAUUAUUGAAAGGAUGUGGAUGCUUUGGAGACGGUGCAGAGGAGAUUCCGCAGGAUGUUGUCUGAUGGCUGGAGGUUUUAUAGAGCUCUUCCUUUCUCCAAGUAAACGUACAGACAUUGAAAAUCCACAAAGA